UGGCAACUGUUCUGCUUUCAGCAGCUACUUUUCUGGUUUGAAGGGGGGAAGGGGGAACUGCUGGUUUAGAGUCACAAUACUGACUGCUCAAAAUGACUUUUGAGUUUUUCUGGGAAGAGCAGAACACAGGAGUUGGGGUGCAGACCUCCUGGAUCACCAGCAGAAGGAAAAGAGCAGUGAGACGUUAAAGUGAUUGAGACAAAAAUGGAAGUAAAACAGCUUAAGGCUUUCUGAGAUCGAGUUCCUGGCAGUGUCAUCAGCAGAUGGUUUCUUCUGAAGUUCAGGGGAAGAGAAGAUGCUCGAAGAACUCUCCAGGGACUGAGUGGGUGGUACAGAGCUAGUGCUGUAGAUGCCAUGUAUACAGGCAAAUUCCCCAAUGAGUGUUUUCCAAUAUCAAGUUUAACUGGCAUUUAAGAUAUAUGCCAAAGGUAGGUAAAUUAUUUUGGCCUGUGCUUAUAGGUUUAUUUCCCUGGAUGAAGCUUUCUGUCUCUGUCCUAGUGCACUGUAGCAGAUGCAGGGUCUUUCCAUACAAUACAUUAAAAGCUGCAUCUCAUUUUAAAUAUAUUAUAGAAACCCUGAUCAUACAAUACAUACAAGAUUUUUAAGAUCAGCCUUCAGUCGAUUUUUUUGCUUUAUUUUUGUUCUGGAGGUCAAAAUGAGUGGUUAACUGUCUAAGUUGAUUGCAGAGAAAGUUACUACUCAUUCUAAACGUAGGUUUUUAGAAAAGUGUUCUUGGCAGUUGCUACCAUUGGCUUUUUCCAACUUACAUGGGAAUCAAGAUUCAGAACUGGUACACCAAUGGGAAGAGCCUGGAAAAUAGACUAUUGAUCAAGAUGAAUCUGGUCCAGAUACUUUAAGACCUUUUCAGUGUGUUUUUAAGAUUAUAAGUUUGAACUAACAGAAACUUCAAUGCUGUUUUUUCACAAGUCAAUGUGUAGUGUACUGUUAUUCUUUUUUUUCCUGUAAUAUCUUAAUAAUAUUCCUGGCUGUAAGAAAAAGUUAACACUAUACCUAUGUUUUGACUUACUUUAUAGAAGACCCAAACAAUAUUUAACAAAAGGAUUUUUCUCAAAUACUAUUUUGAAAUCACUAUAUUAGACACUAUCUUAAAUUUAUUUCUCAAUUUGCUUCUUUUUGAAACUUCCACAUUUUGGUGUUCUUUUCAGCAUCACUCAUUUUCUUUCAUAAUAAAGAUACCCAAUAACAAUAUCAUAAUAAAGAUUUGAUAACAAAUCUCCAGUUUUGGAGUGUUACAUUUCAUAUCUACAUGCUUACAGAGAAUUUAGUAUGAAUAUUCCCUGGCCUUAGUUCCUCUAAGCCUAGGAUACUUGUAGUCAUUUGGCAAAUAAUUUAAUCCAUGGCAAACAUGAGUCUUAAUACAAAAAUUAUUGAGUAGGCAAAAAAUAAUUGAACAUAUUUUGGACUGAUUACCAGUGCAUUAAAAAAGUAGAGGUUUAAGGAUGAGAAUAAUAAGUUUUUUUGUUUUUACUUAAAUUUAUAUAAAAGGAGUGAAAAUACAGUAGCCUAUAGUACUUAAGAGUGUGGGUAUAUUUUCAGCACUUAAUAAUUACUAGUUGAAUUGCAUAAUAUGGGACUAUAACUGAUAUGGUUUGGCUCUGUGUCCCCGCCCAAAUCUCAUGUUGAAUUAUAAUUUCCAAUAUUGGAGGAGGUACCUAGUGGGAGGUGACUGGAUCAUUGGGGGAAAUUUCCCCCUUGCUGUCCUCAUGAUAGUGAGUGAGUUCUCACAAGAUCUGAUGGUUUAAAAGUGUGUGGCAUUUCCCCCUUUACUCUUUCUCUCUCCUGCUGGCCAUGAGAAUAAGUGCUUGCUUCCCAUUCACCUUCUGCCAUGCUUGUGUUUCCUGAGGCUUCCCAGCCAUGCUUCUUGUUCAAGCUGCAGAACUGUGAGUCAAUUAAACCUCAUUUCUUCAUAAAUUACCCAGUCUCAGCUCUUUAUGGGAGUGUGAGAAUGGACUAAUAAAAUAUCUCUAGAAUUAUGUUUUUGGAGAUAAUUUAAAGAUAAACAAAUAUUGGAAACCUCAUUUGAUCACACAGAGAACAGUAAAUGGAAGUUCUACUUUUUCUCCAGGGCCUUUCUCAUGCUUAUGCAGGGAUUAUUCACCCAGAUAUCCUGAAAUAAGACAUCCAAUUAAGGUACCUGCUAUCUCAUGUAACACAGAAGAAAGUUGAGCAUAGAGGUUAAACAUUACCUAAUAUUGUUGGAAAAGCUUCGAAGCGUUCAUUUUCAAAGCAGCUAAUGUAAACCAUGAUAAUCACUAGUAGCACUAUGCCAUUUUAAAUACUUCAAUAUUUUGUAGUUAUUAGAUUCUAAGUAAGUAUAAAAUGUAGUGAAUACAAAUUUUAUUUGCCUAAACAGUGUUAGACAAUAUAAAUUAACGAGUUAUUUUUUAUUCUGUUUAAUAUUUUCAAGCCAAUAAACACUUUACUAAAGUA
rnacentral:lncRNA from 10 species